AUGGUGGCAGUCACGUGGCCCGGUUCCCCCUCUCCAAUCUAAGCCAGUGGGGGUUCUGUUGUUUUUUUUUAAUGCCAGCGAGAGCCUGAAACAGCACCUUCCCAGCUGCUCCUUUUCCAUCAGAGCGCAGCUGACCGAGGCAGCGAGCACACUCGGCGCCGCUAUAAAUCUAAAUCACAUCGUACCGCACGGCGCAUUCGCACAAGGAGCAGGAAAGUUAAUGACAACACAAACGCCGCGGUUUGGUUUUAGGGCUGUAAGUCAACGCCACGUGCAAAUAAGGAACAAUAUUUCAAGCUUAACUUUUUGGUGUGUGUUACAGCACGAGGCUAUCAUGGCAGAACGUGAGUAAAUAUAGCACCGUUACACUUUCAAUUUUAACUGCGCUUGUGGCACGGUUAAGUAACAAACUCCUUGCCUUUAAAAAGCCACAACUUUCACACUGGCCCUAUGAGUGCAACGCAGCCAAAGCGAGCCCGCGCAGUCCCUUUUAAUCAGUAAAAAUUACAGCAAACAAAGCAACCCUAUGCACAGCAAAGAUCUCUCACUCAAUAAAAACAGCAGAAACGCACAAAAUGACAGGAGGCAAAGUUCCUUUUUCAGUUUUACUGGGCAGUGAAAACCAGGGACGGGUGUCGCAUUGCCGUUUGGUACCGAUUUGUCUUAAACAGCACACAGAAACUCUGCCCAUUACUGGCCGGCCUCCAGUGGGAAAGUUAGCAGUACUACCACGGGCGUGAUCGCAGGCACGGAAUACAGUUACACUGUGAGAGCCAAGAGACCUCAGAAGCAGAACAGACGGACAGGAUACAUCCAACUGCAGAACAAACACCCUAAAUAUGCUCCACUGCAAUGCAGGAAAUUGGUGACUGGGGGAUCCUGACAGCCAAAGGGCACCCACCAUCGCAAUGGCUCGCACGUGCCGGGGAUGCACAGUUAGCUAAAAGCACAUCUACAAGAAGAGACAGCGUAGGAUCAGCUCAAUGCACAGACAUCUGUUCCUUAGGAGAACUCAGAGAAGUGCUGUCAACAAACUAUCGGUGGCAGGUAAACCGUUAUCCAGUCUCUUUCUGCUCUGAAGAAGACGACUCAUCAUACAUCCUCUGCUCCAAUGAGGGAGAGAAAGGAUAUACUGCAGAGAGGAAGUGCUCAGAUAAUUUUGGAAUGUGAAGAAAAUAAAGUUUUGGGGGGGGUAAAAGACAUGAAAGUGUUGACAACAAGUAUUUCACAUGAAAUCUGAAAUUAUUUGCUCGGUGCCUUGCUCUGUAAAUACAACACGAUGGAAAUUUGCCACUAUAAA